AUACGGAGGGUGCAAGCGUUAUCCGGAAUCAUUGGGUUUAAAGGGUCCGUAGGCGGAUUAUUAAGUCAGAGGUGAAAUCCCACAGCUUAACUGUGGAACUGCCUUUGAUACUGGUAGUCUUGAGUUAUAUGGAAGUAGAUAGAAUGUGUAGUGUAGCGGUGAAAUGCAUAGAUAUUACACAGAAUACCGAUUGCGAAGGCAGUCUACUACGUAUAUACUGACGCUAAUGGACGAAAGCGUGGGGAGCGAACAGGAUUAGAUACCCUAGUAGUCC
rnacentral:rRNA from 1 species